AUUGAACGCUGGCGGCAGGCCUAACACAUGCAAGUCGAGCGGUAGAGAGAAGCUUGCUUCUCUUGAGAGCGGCGGACGGGUGAGUAAUACCUGGGAAUCUGCCUGAUAGUGGGGGAUAACGUUCGGAAACGGACGCUAAUACCGCAUACGUCCUACGGGAGAAAGCAGGGGAUCUUCGGACCUUGCGCUAUCAGAUGAGCCCAGGUCGGAUUAGCUUGUUGGUGAGGUAACGGCUCACCAAGGCGACGAUCCGUAACUGGUCUGAGAGGAUGAUCAGUCACACUGGAACUGAGACACGGUCCAGACUCCUACGGGAGGCAGCAGUGGGGAAUAUUGGACAAUGGGCGCAAGCCUGAUCCAGCCAUGCCGCGUGUGUGAAGAAGGUCUUCGGAUUGUAAAGCACUUUAAGUUGGGAGGAAGGGUUGUAGUUUAAUACGCUGCAAUCUUGACGUACCGACAG
rnacentral:rRNA from 1 species